CCUACGGGUGGCAGCAGUGAGGAAUAUUGGUCAAUGGACGCAAGUCUGAACCAGCCAUGCCGCGUGCAGGAAGACGGCUCUAUGAGUUGUAAACUGCUUUUGUACGAGGGUAAACGCAGAUACGCGUAUCUGUCUGACAGUAUCGUACGAAUAAGGAUCGGCUAACUCCGUGCCAGCAGCCGCGGUAAUACGGAGGAUUCAAGCGUUAUCCGGAUUUAUUGGGUUUAAAGGGUGCGUAGGCGGUCGGAUAAGUUAGAGGUGAAAGCCCGAGGCUCAACUUCGGAAUUGCCUCGGAUACUGUUCGGCUAGAGAGUAGUUGCGGUAGGCGGAAUGUAUGGUGUAGCGGUGAAAUGCUUAGAGAUCAUACAGAACACCGAUUGCGAAGGCAGCUUACCAAGCUACUUCUGACGUUGAGGCACGAAAGCGUGGGGAGCAAACAGGAUUAGAUACCCUUGUAGUC
rnacentral:rRNA from 1 species